AUCGAACGCUGGCGGCAGGCCUAACACAUGCAAGUCGAGCGGAUGAAGGGAGCUUGCGCCUGGAUUCAGCGGCGGACGGGGGAGUAAUGCCUAGGAAUCUGCCUGGUAGUGGGGGAGAACGUCCGGAAACGGGCGCUAAUACCACAUACGUCCUGAGGGAGAAAGAGGGGGAUCUUCGGACCGCACGCUCUGAGGUGAGCCUAGGUCGGAUUAGCUAGUUGGUGGGGUAAGGGCCUACCAAGGCGAGGAUCCGUAACUGGACGGAGAGGCUGGUCAGUCACACUGGAACUUGGCCACGGUCCAGGCUCCUACGGGAGGCCGCAGUGGCGAAUGUUGGGCAGUGGGCGAAAGCCUGGUCCAGCCGUGCCACGUGUGUUACGGAGGUCUUCCGAUUGUAAAGCACUUUAAGUUGGGAGGAAGGGCAGUAAGUUAAUACCUUGCUGUUUUGACGUUACCAACAGAAUAAGCACCGGCUAACUUCGUG
rnacentral:rRNA from 1 species